UACCAGCACCCCGAGUGGUCGGGACGUUUUAUUGGGCCUAAAGCAUCCGUAGCCGGUUCUACAAGUCUUCCGUUAAAUCCAACUGCUUAACAGGUGGGCUGCGGAAGAUACUAUAGAGCUAGGAGGCGGGGAGAGGCAAGCGGUACUCGAUGGGUAGGGGUAAAAUCCGUUGAUCCAUUGAAGACCACCAGUGGCGAAGGCGGCUUGCCAGAACGCGCUCGACGGUGAGGGAUGAAAGCUGGGGGAGCAAACCGG
rnacentral:rRNA from 1 species